AGGGGAUGCCGUACAAGCUGGGAGAUAUCCAUAUUUAUACUUCUCCAAAUUUUAUGUUGGUUGUAUCAUGAGUGGUGUGUUUGGUGUUUUUCUCGCUCUCAGUAAUAUAAAACUUGUGGAAAGUAAUAUAGAUAAGGGAGAAAUGGCAAAAAUAACAGGGAUAUGUAAAUUGGUGGCAUCCGUGACCUCAUUAAUUUUCUUCAAGUCAACAUUCGCAGGCUCACAUUUAUUAUGGU